CCUACGGGUGGCAGCAGUGAGGAAUAUUGGUCAAUGGACGAGAGUCUGAACCAGCCAAGUAGCGUGAAGGAUGACUGCCCUAUGGAUUGUAAACUUCUUUUAUAAAGGAAUAAAACGAGGCACGUGUGCCUUUUUGCAUGUACUUUAUGAAUAAGGAUCGGCUAACUCCGUGCCAGCAGCCGCGGUAAUACGGAGGAUCCGAGCGUUAUCCGGAUUUAUUGGGUUUAAAGGGAGCGUAGAUGGUUUGGUAAGUCUGUUGUGAAAGUUUGCGGCUCAACCGUAAAAUUGCAAUUGAUACUGGCAGUCUUGAGUACAGUUGAGGUAGGCGGAAUUCGUGGUGUAGCGGUGAAAUGCGUAGAUAUCACGAAGAACCCCGGUUGCGAAGGCAGCUUACUAAACUGUGACUGACGUUGAGGCUCGAAAGUGUGGGUAGCAAACAGGAUUAGAUACCCUAGUAGUC
rnacentral:rRNA from 1 species